CACACGCGCACUUCCUCCACUUCCCCUUAGCAACGGGACCUACUAGGCCUUCCAUAGCAACGGGACCUACUAGGCCUUCCAUAGCAACGGGGCCUACUAGGCCUUCCAUAGCAACGGGGCCUAGGAACGUCCAGAAAUCCGCAUUUCAGCAGGAUGCAGAAAUACAGAGAAAAGAUGGGCAAAGACACGCAUCCACUACUAACUUCGAAAACUGGAACACAUCGAAGACAAACUUCUCCAGCUUUAUCCCGUUGGGUUUGAGCGGCUUUAUCAAAUUCCCUUCUUUGUCGACAAAAGGGACCUUCUUAAUGGCCACGUGGGGUCUCAGCUGAGGCUCGUAUUUCCUAGCAGGAGGGAAUAACAGAAUCACAGAGCUGCAAGGGAUCCUCAAAGGCCAUCCAGUCCAACCCUGAAAAGCAAAAAAGGAGGAGAACUGCAAACAUACUCGGCCACAUCCCGCAGGAAGUCCCGGGUGAAGAAAUGGUUGCAGAUAUUCCCGGCGCUGUAGGUCAAGCGUCCGUCCGGGUUCCGGCUCUGGGCCAAUUCGAGGGGCAGCUCGCUGUACUCCACAACCUGGUAGGCUCCUUCCACGCAACACACCACGCCCACCGGCUCCUCAGGGCAGGUUUUUUCCACCACCUGCACAAUAACAACAACAACAACAACAAAACCACUACAAUUAGGAAGCGGAUGGACCUCUAAGGCGGAAGUAAACCACAAGGUAAUAAUCUAUCCUGUAUUUAUUAUGAUUUUACCAUUUAUGUGUUUUAAAUGCAAUUUUUUAUCCUGUAUUUUUGUUUUAAUUGAUAUAUUGUAUUACUGUUUUAUCUUUUUAUAGUGUGAUUUGUAUUACGUUGCAUAUAUUUUGUCCUGUGUUGUUUGGGCCUCUGCCCCCUGUAAGCCGCCCCGAGUCCCCGCGGGGAGAUGGUGGCGGGGGAUAAAUAAAGUUUUAUUAUUAUUAAGGUAACCAUAAGCAAUUCAUGAGUAAGCAAAUACUGACACAGUCUGAAUUAAGGUCUAUGUACAAGGUUCUUGGAAGAAUGGAAUUAAGUAAUUUAUAUGUUUUUUAUGCUUUUUAUUUAUUUAUUACAAUAUUUAUAUCCCGCCCUUCUCACCCAGCAGGGGACUCAGGGUGGCUUUUUAAUGUUUGUAUAAUGCAUCUUUACUGAUUACUGUUAAUGGUUUUAAAUGUGUUGUUCAUUUCAUUGAUUGUUUGGCAUUGAAUGGGUGUUGUAAGCCGCCUUGAAUCCCUUCGGGUGAGAAAGGCGGGGUAAAAAUGUUGUAAAUAAAUAAAUAAGCCAACAGUGCAGUGCAGCUGCUAAAAAGGCCAAUGCGGUUCUAGGCUGCAUCAAUAGAAGUAUAGCAGUCCUAGUUCCUCUCUUCUGUUUUAAUCAGACUUCUUUACCCCUUGUCUCCACUUCUGGGAGUCCAGUGGAGUUGUUUUCCUUCUCUGGAGGUCUUAAGCAGAGGCUGGAUGGCCGUCUGUUGGGAGGGCUUGGAUUGUGCCUUCCUGCCGGAUAGAAAGGAGUUGGACUGGAAGGCCCUUGGGAUUUCCGCUAAGGGAUGAAGGCUGAGACUUUCAAGGAAUAAAUGAUAAACACGGAUGGACCUAUGGAUACAGUAUGAGGUUGUAUGGACGAACGGAUCUGAUCGAAUGUUUUAAAUUUAUAUAUUGUAAUUUUAUAUUGCAUUUAAUAGUCUUAAUUGAUUUUAUGUAUUGUUCGAUAUUGUUUUUGUGUGGGCAUCGAAUUGUGGCCAUUGUUGUAGACCGCCCUGAGUCCCUUUGGGUGAGAAAGGCGGGAUGCAAAUGUUGGAAAUAAAUAAAUAAGACUGCC